rnacentral:rRNA from 1 species
CUAGCCGUAAACGAUGGAUACUAGGCGUUGAGAGGAUCGACCCUCGCAGUGCCGUAGCUAACGCGUUAAGUAUCCCGCCUGGGGAGUACGCGCGCAAGCGUGAAACUCAAAGGAAUUGACGGGGGCCCGCACAAGCGGUGGAGUAUGUGGUUUAAUUCGAUACAACGCGAAGAACCUUACCAGGGCUUGACAUGUCCGGAACCCUGCCCAAAGGUGGGGGUGCCUACGGGAGCCAGAACACAGGUGGUGC